rnacentral:rRNA from 1 species
ACGCUCGACACCUACGGAAGGCAGCAGUGGGGAAUAUUGCACAAUGGGGGAAACCCUGAUGCAGCGACGCCGCGUGAGUGAAGAAGUAUUUCGGUAUGUAAAGCUCUAUCAGCAGGGAAGAAGAUGACGGUACCUGAGUAAGAAGCCCCGGCUAACUACGUGUCAGCAGCCGCGGUAAUCUGAGCGGGCUGGCAAGGC